CACGUAGGGGCCGAGCGUUGUCCGGAUUUAUUGGGCGUAAAGAGCUCGUAGGCGGUUGGGUAAGUCGGGUGUGAAAACUCUGGGCUCAACUCAGAGACGCCACCCGAUACUGCUCUGACUUGAGUCCGGUAGGGGAGUGGGGAAUUCCGGGUGUAGCGGUGGAAUGCGUAGAGAUCCGGAAGAACACCGGUGGCGAAGGCGGCCUGCUGGGCUAUGGCUGACACUGAGGCGCGACAGCGUGGGGAGCAAACAGG
rnacentral:rRNA from 1 species